rnacentral:rRNA from 1 species
GGUGACCUCGGAGCUUGCUCCGGGUGAUCAGUGGCGAACGGGUGAGAAACACGUGAGUAACCUGCCCCAGACUCUGGGAUAACCCCGAGAAAUCGGAGCUAAUACCGGAUACGAGACGCACGGGCAUCUGUAGCGUCUGGAAAGAAUUUCGGUCUGGGAUGGACUCGCGGCCUAUCAGCUUGUUGGUGAGGUAACGGCUCACCAAGGCGACGACGGGUAGCCGGCCUGAGAGGGCGACCGGCCACACUGGGACUGAGACACGGCCCAGACUCCUACGGGAGGCAGCAGUGGGGAAUAUUGCACAAUGGGCGCAAGCCUGAUGCACGACGCCGCCGUGGGGGAUGAAGGCCUUCGGGUUGUAAACCCCUUUCAGCAGGGAAGAAGCGAAAGUGACGGUACCUGCAGAAGAAGCGCCGGCUAACUACGUGCCAGCAGCCGCGGUAAUACGUAGGGCGCAAGCGUUGUCCGGAAUUAUUGGGCGUAAAGAGCUCGUAGGCGGUUUGUCGCGUCUGCUGUGAAAACCCGAGGCUCAACCUCGGGCCUGCAGUGGGUACGGGCAGACUAGAGUGCGGUAGGGGAGACUGGAAUUCCUGGUGUAGCGGUGGAAUGCGCAGAUAUCAGGAGGAACACCGAUGGCGAAGGCAGGUCUCUGGGCCGCAACUGACGCUGAGGAGCGAAAGCAUGGGGAGCGAACAGGAUUAGAUACCCUGGUAGUCCAUGCCGUAAACGUUGGGCACUAGGUGUGGGGGCUCAUUCCACGAAUUUCCGUGCCCCCAGCAAACGCAUUUAAGUGCCCCCGCCUGGGGGAGUACGG